GUGGGUAGUUUGACUGGGGCGGUCUCCUCCUAAAGAGUAACGGAGGAGCACGAAGGUUGGCUAAUCCUGGUCGGACAUCAGGAGGUUAGUGCAAUGGCAUAAGCCAGCUUGACUGCGAGCGUGACGGCGCGAGCAGGUGCGAAAGCAGGUCAUAGUGAUCCGGUGGUUCUGAAUGGAAGGGCCAUCGCUCAACGGAUAAAAGGUACUCCGGGGAUAACAGGCUGAUACCGCCCAAGAGUUCAUAUCGACGGCGGUGUUUGGCACCUCGAUGUCGGCUCAUCACAUCCUGGGGCUGAAGUAGGUCCCAAGGGUAUGGCUGUUCGCCAUUUAAAGUGGUACGCGAGCUGGGUUUAGAACGUCGUGAGACAGUUCGGUCCCUAUCUGCCGUGGGCGCUGGAGAACUGAGGGGGGCUGCUCCUAGUACGAGAGGACCGGAGUGGACGCAUCACUGGUGUUCGGGUUGUCAUGCCAAUGGCACUGCCCGGUAGCUAAAUGCGGAAGAGAUAAGUGCUGAAAGCAUCUAAGCACGAAACUUGCCCCGAGAUGAGUUCUCCCUGAGACUUUAGGUCUCCUGAAGGAACGUUGAAGACGACGACGUUGAUAGGCCGGGUGUGUAAGCGCAGCGAUGCGUUGAGCUAACCGGUACUAAUGA
rnacentral:rRNA from 1 species